rnacentral:lncRNA from 1 species
GGAAGCCCUGCAGGACCAUGGGGCGUUUACCAGAGGAGGGGGAACGGGGCCUAGAGAUGUUAGACAGAUGGAGAUUCUUUUAACUCACAGGCAUCUGUUUAACACCGCGGAGAAGGCUUAGAGGGGAUAAUGAUGACGACAGCUCAAACGUAACGUUUACUGGGGGCUUAGCACAUGUCUGUUACUGUUCUGUGUUCCGUAUCUCAUGUAAACCUCUCAACCACAGAUAGGGGAAUAACCCUAUUCCUAACCACUGAAUGCUCGAGGGUCCCUGAAAGAGAAGAUCCACACAAAAAGAUGAGGCUUCCACUCCCUGCGAGGGAUACAAGUGAGAGGGUUGACCACGGCACACCAAGCAAGAAAACGCCGGGCUCAAAACUCACAGAAUGGAUAUCAGAGGUUUGGAAGAGAGCCUCAGGGAUAGCAGCAGAGCACUCUUUCCAAAAAUACUGCCAUGGCAUUGAUAGCACAGACAACAAUAUUACAUGGAAAACCACAGGCAUCAAUGACCAAGUCGUAAAUUAUUCAAAACAGUCAGACUCUGAACGUGAGUACGUUCUAGGACUAAGUUACUCGGUUUAUUUCUCUUCUGUUUUUUUUUUUUUUUAGACACAUGAGUAAUAAAGAAUAAACUGUCUAACUACCUUCUUUUGAUAACAAUAAAAAUGCCAAGUGAUAAGAAAGUAUUAGGUCAAAGUUUAGCUGGCAGAAUUUUUCUUUCUCAAGUGAACAUAAAAUAAAGGUGCAUCUUACAAUCAGUGA